GGAGGGGUGGCCGAGUGGUUGAAGGCGCACGCUUGGAAAGCGUGUAUACCUUUACGGGUAUCGGGGGUUCGAAUCCCUUCCUCUCCG
rnacentral:tRNA from 1 species